GCAUUUUAUGAUGAUUUUGUUUUUUUCUUUGUUUGGUCAAUUUAUUUAUCAUCCUCACUCCUGUACUUCUUGGGAAUUGAAUUCCAUAUAACACAGAGAAUUUCCCAUGGGUCCUAAUGCCUAACUCAGUGGACGUGAAUUAUCAGAAGCAAGGAUUAAAAAAGAAGACCCCCAUGUGGAAGAGACGGUUGUCUUGUGACCGUUUUUUGGAUUUUCUACAUAGAGUUUUAUCACAAGUUGUGGAGACCCUUCUCUGGGUGGGCUCUCUGCCAACGCAUAAUUCUGAAAUGUCCAGCUCAUUCCUCAUUUGUCGAUUAAUCUUACAUGGAUUGUUCUAAGUUGUUAGUUGUGCUCAAUGUACAUUCAAUUUGAGUUCCAUAUGAUUCCCAAGUUACUAGCAGAGACGUUUUGAAAUUUGGGCGUGAAAUGGAACUAGGAUUAGAUUACUGUUGUUAAGGCCAGAGGGGGUGGUGAUUCAGAUUGAGAUAUUGUUCUUUCCUGUAGCUGCGCAAAAGGCAGAUUUGGAAGUUCUGUUUUGCACCAAUUGAUUUUUGGUUUAAAUAUGCAGUUAAAGUGGUAG
rnacentral:misc_RNA from 1 species